CCUACGGGCGGCAGCAGUGGGGGAUAUUGCACAAUGGGGGAAACCCUGAUCCAGCGACGCCGCGUGUGGGAAGACGGUCCUCUGGAUUGUAAACCACUGUCCCCAGGGACGAAGAUGACGGUACCUGGGGAGGAAGCUCCGGCUAACUACGUGCCAGCAGCCGCGGUUAUACGCAGGGAGCGAGCGUUGUCCGGAUUUACUGGGUGUAAAGGGAGCGUAGGCGGGGAUGCAAGUUGGGUGUCAAAACUACCGGCUCAACUGGUAGUCGCACUCAGAACUGGAGCUCUUGAGUGCAGGAGAGGCAGGCGGAAUUCCUAGUGUAGCGGUGAAAUGCGUAGAUAUUAGGAGGAACACCAGUGGCGAAGGCGGCCUGCUGGGCUGUUACUGACGCUGAGGCUCGAAAGUGUGGGGAGCAAACAGGAUUAGAUACCCUUGUAGUC
rnacentral:rRNA from 1 species